GACUCGUCACACUAUCAUUAACUGAAUCCAUAGGUUAAUGAGGCGAACCGGGGGAACUGAAACAUCUAAGUACCCCGAGGAAAAGAAAUCAACCGAGAUUCCCCCAGUAGCGGCGAGCGAACGGGGAGGAGCCCAGAGCCUGAAUCAGCAUGUGUGUUAGUGGAAGCGUCUGGAAAGGCGCGCGAUACAGGGUGACAGCCCCGUACACAAAAGCGCAUGUGCUGUGAGCUCGAUGAGUAGGG
rnacentral:rRNA from 2 species